rnacentral:lncRNA from 1 species
CAGGAGCAGCAGCAGCUGCUGGCCAUGUCCAUGGAGAAAGUCUUCCUUCUCCAACAGGCAGAGUUGGUGAGGAUCUGAGGAUUGCACAGUGGAUGUCAGGGAUGACAACAAAGGUGUGGCCAAUCUGGCUUUUCCCAGUUGGAACAGGGGAAAACAGAGUAGGGCUUGGCACAGACCUGAGGAAGCUGGAGAAAUGGAGAGGAGCUUCGUCUCCAAGUUUUCCUGGAAGCAGAGUUUCAAAGGCUCCACCUGGAACUCAGUCUCUUUAACCAGGCUCUGGAGACUCUGUCCCGUCUGGAGAGCCUA